rnacentral:rRNA from 1 species
GAGUUUGAUCAUGGCUCAGGACGAACGCUGGCGGCGUGCCUAAUACAUGCAAGUCGAACGCACUGACGGAGAACUUGUUCUCUUGACGUGAGUGGCGCACGGGUGAGUAACACGUGGGAAACCUACCCUUCAGCGGGGGAUAACCAUCGGAAACGAUGACUAAUACCGCAUAGACGACAGAACCGCCUGGUUCAAUCGGGAAAGACGGCUUCGGCUGUCACUGAAGGAUGGUCCCGCGCUGCAUUAGCUAGUUGGUAAGGUAACGGCUUACCAAGGCGAUGAUGCAUAGCCGACCUGAGAGGGUGAUCGGCCACAUUGGGACUGAGACACGGCCCAAACUCCUACGGGAGGCAGCAGUAGGGAAUCUUCCGCAAUGGACGCAAGUCUGACGGAGCAACGCCGCGUGUGUGAAGAAGGUUUUCGGAUCGUAAAGCACUGUUAUUAGAGAAGAACAGCCGAUAGAGUAACUGUUAUCGGUUUGACGGUAUCUAACCAGAAAGUGACGGCUAACUACGUGCCAGCAGCCGCGGUA